CUUGCUCCACCGGAAAAAGAGGAGUGGCGAACGGGUGAGUAACACGUGGGUAACCUGCCCAUCAGAAGGGGAUAACACUUGGAAACAGGUGCUAAUACCGUAUAACAAUCGAAACCGCAUGGUUUUGAUUUGAAAGGCGCUUUCGGGUGUCGCUGAUGGAUGGACCCGCGGUGCAUUAGCUAGUUGGUGAGGUAACGGCUCACCAAGGCCACGAUGCAUAGCCGACCUGAGAGGGUGAUCGGCCACAUUGGGACUGAGACACGGCCCAAACUCCUACGGGAGGCAGCAGUAGGGAAUCUUCGGCAAUGGACGAAAGUCUGACCGAGCAACGCCGCGUGAGUGAAGAAGGUUUUCGGAUCGUAAAACUCUGUUGUUAGAGAAGAACAAGGAUGAGAGUAACUGUUCAUCCCUUGACGGUAUCUAACCAGAAAGCCACGGCUAACUACGUGCCAGCAGCCGCGGUAAUACGUAGGUGGCAAGCGUUGUCCGGAUUUAUUGGGCGUAAAGCGAGCGCAGGCGGUUUCUUAAGUCUGAUGUGAAAGCCCCCGGCUCAACCGGGGAGGGUCAUUGGAAACUGGGAGACUUGAGUGCAGAAGAGGAGAGUGGAAUUCCAUGUGUAGCGGUGAAAUGCGUAGAUAUAUGGAGGAACACCAGUGGCGAAGGCGGCUCUCUGGUCUGUAACUGACGCUGAGGCUCGAAAGCGUGGGGAGCAAACAGGAUUAGAUACCCUGGUAGUCCACGCCGUAAACGAUGAGUGCUAAGUGUUGGAGGGUUUCCGCCCUUCAGUGCUGCAGCUAACGCAUUAAGCACUCCGCCUGGGGAGUACGACCGCAAGGUUGAAACUCAAAGGAAUUGACGGGGGCCCGCACAAGCGGUGGAGCAUGUGGUUUAAUUCGAAGCAACGCGAAGAACCUUACCAGGUCUUGACAUCCUUUGACCACUCUAGAGAUAGAGCUUCCCCUUCGGGGG
rnacentral:rRNA from 1 species